UACGUAGGGUGCAAGCGUUAAUCGGAAUUACUGGGCGUAAAGCGUGCGCAGGCGGUUUUGUAAGUCUGUCGUGAAAUCCCCGGGCUUAACCUGGGAAUGGCGAUGGAGACUGCAAGGCUAGAGUUUGGCAGAGGGGGGUAGAAUUCCACGUGUAGCAGUGAAAUGCGUAGAUAUCGAGAGGAACACCAGUGGCGAAGGCGAGUCCCUGGACAACACCUGACACUGAGGCACGAAAGCUAGGGGAGCAAACAGG
rnacentral:rRNA from 1 species